UUUGAAAGGGAAACGAUUGAAGUCAGUCAUACCAACGGGAAAUCAACCUUUUGAGCUCGGUUUCGUGGGUUUUGAAGAGUUUCAAAGCCUUCGGAUUCGCGAGAUUGGGAUCUCUCGGUGUACUUUCUCGUACGGUUAGUCAACAUCGGUUUUGAAUGUCAUAAAAUGACUGGAGGAAUGUAGCUUCGAUCUCGUAUUGAAGUGUUAUAGCCUUUGGUAGAUGUGAUGUUUGAGACCGAGGAUUGCAACGGAUACCCUUCAGGGCUAUUCGUCUGAUCUCUGAUACGUUGCCCUGAUGUUGAAAGCUUGCUUAUGAUGUUAGGGUAUACGUCAAAAGUG
rnacentral:rRNA from 1 species